AGCCGAGCGGAACGAUGGUAGCUUGCUACCAGGCGUCGGGCGGCGGACGGGUGAGUAAUACUUAGGAAUCUACCUAGUAGUGGGGGAUAGCACGGGGAAACUCGUAUUAAUACCGCAUACGACCUACGGGAGAAAGGGGGCAGUUUACUGCUCUCGCUAUUAGAUGAGUCUAAGUCGGAUUAGCUAGAUGGUGGGGUAAAGGCCUACCAUGGCGACGAUCUGUAGCUGGUCUGAGAGGAUGAUCAGCCACACCGGGACUGAGACACGGCCCGGACUCCUACGGGAGGCAGCAGUGGGGAAUAUUGGACAAUGGGGGAAACCCUGAUCCAGCCAUGCCGCGUGUGUGAAGAAGGCCUUUUGGUUGUAAAGCACUUUAAGCAGUGAAGAAGACUCUUCGGUUAAUACCCGGAGACGAUGACAUUAGCUGCAGAAUAAGCACCGGCUAACUCUGUGCCAGCAGCCGCGGUAA
rnacentral:rRNA from 1 species